rnacentral:lncRNA from 1 species
AACCCUGGCAUAUCUUGAUAAGACCAGGCAAAGAUGUCGACAUACUCUUUCAACAGUGCUACCAUUCUGCUCUUGACACUUUCCUCCAAAGCAGCCCCGAUUUUCACCUCUUUCUUGACCUCGUCGGUACCCAGAUUCACAAUCUCAAUCUGCUCUUCAUGCGGCUGAAUCACCUUCUCCUCUUGUUUCAACAACAUGGCUAAUUCCC